UUAAAGAGUUUUGAUAAAACUCCCAAACCCAUGUGAACUUACCUUUUGUUGCCUCGGCAGGUCGUGCCUACCCCGUGGGCUCCUACCCGGUAGGAGCCUACCCGGUUGUUGCGGUCGUGCCUGCCGGUGGCCCGUCAAAGAAAACUUUUGUGUAUUUUAUGUUAUUCUGAGUGGGCAACUAAAAUAAGUUAAAACUUUCAACAACGGAUCUCUUGGUUCUGGCAUCGAUGAAGAACGCAGCGAAAUGCGAUAAGUAAUGUGAAUUGCAGAAUUCAGUGAAUCAUCGAAUCUUUGAACGCACAUUGCGCCCAUUAGUAUUCUAGUGGGCAUGCCUGUUCGAGCGUCAUUUCAACCCUUAAGCCCCUGUUGCUUAGUGUUGGGAGCCUACAGUCCUCUGUAGCUCCUCAAAGUUAGUGGCGGAGUUGGUUUGCACUUUAGACGUAGUAGAUUCUAUCUCGUCUACAGUUAGGCCGGUCUCUCGCCGUUAAAACCCCCUAAUUUUUCAAGGUUGACCUCGGAUCAGGUAGGAAUACCCGCUGAACUUAAGCAUAUCAAUAAGCGGA
rnacentral:rRNA from 1 species